rnacentral:rRNA from 1 species
UACAGAGGUCUCGAGCGUUGUUCGGAUUCAUUGGGCGUAAAGGGUGCGUAGGUGGCACCGUAAGUCGGGUGUGAAAUCCUGAGGCUUAACCUCGGAACUGCAUUCGAUACUGCGGUGCUUGAGGACUGGAGAGGAGACUGGAAUUCAUGGUGUAGCAGUGAAAUGCGUAGAGAUCAUGAGGAAGACCAGUGGCGAAGGCGGGUCUCUGGACAGUUCCUGACGCUGAGGCACGAAGGUCAGGGGAGCAAACGGG